rnacentral:rRNA from 1 species
UACGUAGGGUGCAAGCGUUGUCCGGAAUUAUUGGGCGUAAAGAGCUUGUAGGCGGUUUGUCGCGUCUGCUGUGAAAUUUCGGGGCUCAACCCCGAACUUGCAGUGGGUACGGGCAGACUAGAGUGUGGCAGGGGAGACUGGAAUUCCUGGUGUAGCGGUGAAAUGCGCAGAUAUCAGGAGGAACACCGAUGGCGAAGGCAGGUCUCUGGGCCAUAACUGACGCUGAGAAGCGAAAGCAUGGGGAGCGAACAGG